rnacentral:rRNA from 1 species
AUGGAUGAAUUGAAGAAAACAGUGAAUGUACUAGUAGCCGAAAGAGAUGAAGCUCGGACGCAGCAUGAACAUCAUCCAGUGGAUCUCGGAAGCCAUGAGCGGAGAAGCAGCGUGGCUUCCACGGAGGCCCCACCGACGAUCGAUAUUACUGCACCGGAGCCUCUGGCGGUCGAAAUUACUGCACAGGAGCCUCCUCGCUACCCCGUGGACGAUAUAAAGGAGAUGAAAGAAUGUCAUCUGUAUUAUCCUAUCGGGAAAAUGUCCAUGAAGGUAGCCAUGGGCAGUGCUUUACCAUGUUUACCUGGAGCACUCCACCACAACAACCCCAUUCAAGAUGGCUAUGCUCGUGUCACGGUGGAGGACAUAGUCAAAGGGUUUGAGGACCUGGACAUUGACAUUGCUACACCUGAAGGGGAGAAAAGACUUGGAGAUGUCAAGCGCCAGUUCAUUCUAUGGCAAAAGAAGUUUAUCAAGUUUCCAGGCGAGGCGCCAAGGACAACAAGUCCACCCCCCAGUCCUCGUCCGGCGGGUGAUCAGACGCCGCCCCCCAAUCCACCUCCGGCAAAGAAGCAUAAGCCGUCCUGGAUUAUUAACCCGGACCCUUAUGUACCUAAGACCACAAAGGUACCGGAGCCAUCACUGAAGCCUCUCCCCACAAGGCCUUGGGAACUUAGUGCCGAGGAAGGCGACGCGGCCGCGGCUGCUCAUUUGGAGAAAUGGAAGGCGGACUGCAAGAAGUCAAGAGAGCCCGAGCCCAAGCAAGUAUUUUCUGAUGAGCAAAAGAAGUGGGCUAAGGAAUUUUUGAACACACCGUCCCAAGCCGCGAAGAAUCUGCCUGAGGACUAUGCACGUGAACUUCGCAAGCAGGCACUCAUAUUCAAGGAGAACAGAGAGCGGGAGAAGGCCGAAAGUAAAAAAAGCGGGAAACAAGUUGCCCAGCUCGGGGAACAAAGUAAACAAUCGAUUGCCCCGCUUAUAAUGGAAGCCGCCGGUCCGGAUACCCCCGAGAUCAUACAAGCUGCGAAAGCACUGGGAUUGACUGUAACGAGUGCCAGAGAACAAGCGGCCAACUUUGGUAUGACUCUUCGUGCACUGUUAGCCUUGAGGACGCGCCAAUGA